UGAAAUAUAAACAAGAAAAACUUCCAACAUCUGUGUCCAAAAUUAGGAUUUUCGUUGUUUCUUUUUUAUUGGUUCCCCGUCUUCUUCAUUGUCUCCUUCCUCAU
rnacentral:ribozyme from 13 species